CUGGUGUGACCGCCAUGGAUUCGGCUGGGACAAAUACGAUCCACCUUAUCCUGCCUCCAAACCUGUCCACCUGCCAGCCUACCUGCCCUGCCCACGCUGCCUGUCUACCCUGCUGCCCUGUCUGCCUCGCCCUGUCUGCCUCGCUCUGCCUACCUACCAGUCCCGCCCUCACCCCUCUGGCCCUGUCUCAAUCCUUCCACCCCAACCUAUAUUAAAACACCCCUUGAGUUUCA